AUUGAACGCUGGCGGCAUGCCUUACACAUGCAAGUCGAACGGUAACAGGUCUUCGGAUGCUGACGAGUGGCGAACGGGUGAGUAAUACAUCGGAACGUGCCUAGUAGUGGGGGAUAACUACUCGAAAGAGUGGCUAAUACCGCAUGAGAUCUACGGAUGACAGCAGGGGAGCGCAAGACCUUGUGCUACUAGAGCGGCCGAUGGCAGAUUAGGUAGUUGGUGGGAUAAAAGCUUACCAAGCCGACGAUCUGUAGCUGGUCUGAGAGGACGAUCAGCCACACUGGGACUGAGACACGGCCCAGACUCCUACGGGAGGCAGCAGUGGGGAAUUUUGGACAAUGGGCGCAAGCCUGAUCCAGCAAUGCCGCGUGCAGGAUGAAGGCCUUCGGGUUGUAAACUGCUUUUGUACGGAACGAAAAGCCCCGGGUUAAUACCCUGGGGUCAUGACGGUACCGUAAGAAUAAGCACCGGCUAACUACGUGCCAGCCGCCGCAGUAA
rnacentral:rRNA from 1 species